GACGAACGCUGGCGGCGUGCUUAACACAUGCAAGUCGAACGGAAAGGCCCUGCUUUUGUGGGGUGCUCGAGUGGCGAACGGGUGAGUAACACGUGAGUAACCUGCCCUUGACUUUGGGAUAACUUCAGGAAACUGGGGCUAAUACCGGAUAGGAGCUCCUGCUGCAUGGUGGGGGUUGGAAAGUUUCGGCGGUUGGGGAUGGACUCGCGGCUUAUCAGCUUGUUGGUGGGGUAGUGGCUUACCAAGGCUUUGACGGGUAGCCGGCCUGAGAGGGUGACCGGCGACAUGGGGACUGAGGGACGGCCCAGACUCCUACGGGAGGCAGCAGUGGGGAAUAUUGCACAAUGGGCGGAAGCCUGAUGCAGCAACGCCGCGUGCGGGAUGACGGCCUUCGGGUUGUAAACCGCUUUCGCCUGUGACGAAGCGUGAGUGACGGUAAUGGGUAAAGAAGCACCGGCUAACUACGUG
rnacentral:rRNA from 1 species